CCCUUAGAUGUUCUGGGCCGCACGCGUGCUACACUGAGUGGAUCAGCGGGUCAGGUUGCGCGAAAGUGUUUCCUAAUCUUUAAAUCCGCUCGUGAUGGGGAUUGACGGUUGCAAUUUUCCGUCAUGAACGAGGAAUACCUUGUAAGCGCGGGUCAUCAUCCCGCGCUGAAUACGUCCCUGCCCUUUGUACACACCGCCCGUCGCUCCUACCGAUUGAGUGGUCCGGUGAGGCUUUGGGAUCUGAGCGGAAAGAGCGUUUCGCUGUUUCUGCCCGGAAAACUCAGUCGAACCUUAUCACUUAGAGGAAGGAGAAGUCGUAACA
rnacentral:rRNA from 1 species